rnacentral:rRNA from 1 species
AACGAACGCUGGCGGCAGGCUUAACACAUGCAAGUCGAGCGCCCCGCAAGGGGAGCGGCAGACGGGUGAGUAACGCGUGGGAAUCUACCCAUCUCUACGGAAUAACGCAUGGAAACGUGUGCUAAUACCGUAUACGUCCUUCGGGAGAAAGAUUUAUCGGAGAUGGAUGAGCCCGCGUUGGAUUAGCUAGUUGGUGGGGUAAAGGCCUACCAAGGCGACGAUCCAUAGCUGGUCUGAGAGGAUGAUCAGCCACACUGGGACUGAGACACGGCCCAGACUCCUACGGGAGGCAGCAGUGGGGAAUAUUGGACAAUGGGCGCGAGCCUGAUCCAGCCAUGCCGCGUGAGUGAUGAAGGCCCUAGGGUUGUAAAGCUCUUUCACCGGGGACGAUAAUGACGGUACCCGGAGAAGAAGCCCCGGCUAACUUCGUGCCAGCCGCCGCGGUAACAC